UCGAAUUCGAAUGUACUCGUGCCUCGUGGUGCAUCCGAGAUUCAGGUUCUAGUUCGUUGAUGUCUUGAUCAAAUGAGAAAAAGUUAGCUGUGCAGUUCAGGCAGUGGAAAAGCAAGUUAUCAUUUCCCCUCUGGUCCAACUGGAAGGCAAUCUGUGCUCUGUCUACUGUUACAACACUAAGUGCCGUUUGCAAGAACUCCACGAUUGAAAUCCAACAAAUGCAGCGCUAAAUGCUGGUCAAGAAGCCUGCUGCAGUGAAAGGCCGAUUGGAAAGUAGUUGCUCUUUGUUUCGUCCCAUUGGGAAGGAUGCAGCCAUUAAGAUUCAAGUCAACGGAAAACACAAGGGAAGUAUUGUCAUAGUUGCCAUAUCUUUUUUAUUAAUAGAUGCUUGGAUCCUUAAUUAGUAGGGCGUUAAUUCAAGAGUUUUGAACUUGUGGGUCAUUGAUUCUUAUUUAUCACCCAACUUGGUCACUCAAUGAAAAACUACUGUGAAUGACUGCCUUCCAGGCAGACUAUCAGAGAGUCUUUCGUUAAGGUGACACACACAUCAAAUGAUUCAUUUCUCUGAAUGACUUCCUUCCUGGCAGACUAUCAGAUUGUGUUUCAUUGAUUUGUUCUAUGCAAUGAACUUCCACUCUGCAUGAUUACUUUCCUUGCAGACUACAAACAGAUCUUCUGUUGAGGUGACCCCAAGGCUUGGAAGAUGAAUGCAAUUAUCAUUGUUAUGUUCAUGACAGUUAACUUUAUAAGACUGCAAAAAAUUUUUUGCAGGUUUUUCUAAAGCCUAAAGCUUAUGAUUUAAACUGUGGUGGAGGUCCAUCGUAAAACCAGGUAUUAAAAAAUUUAAGUGACAAUUAUUGAUCUACCAAAAUGUUUGUUUUUUCUUUUUGACAGCAAGGCAGCGAGCCAGCAUUAGACGAAACAGUUCAGAAAGAGGAAACUGCAAUCUUUUUCACCCGACUUGAAAGCAAAACAACAAUUUCGAUUACAAGUACUGCAUAUUACUGCAUUACAAGCUUUUUGAAGCACAGAUUUUGCAUCUGAAACGAAGUCAGUGAAACUAUCUGCUACUAGAAAUCAGGCAUCAGCUUAUCAUCCAAUUUUGAACCAACCACUUGGAUUCCAAUCUUUGAAAACCUGUCCAUGCAAUUAUACCAAGAAGUCUCAAGAGAAUUGUGAGAAGUUUGGUGUUUGCCUAUGCAACUGGGAGUUGGGUAGAGUUACUAUGCAUUGCUCAAAAUUACAAUGCUCCUCCGGUAUCCUCAGUUGUCACUGCAGUAUUGCACUUCAAUGCUGGCAGAGAAAAUUGCUGUGUCCAGCCUACUGAAAUGCAUGCUAGCUUUCCGGUGCCCAUCUGAAACAACACAAAUAAUACCUGUGUUGUGGUCUCAAAUCACUCGAGUGUUUUCUUCAAGUACUGCGCCACUUCAAGUAAGGUGCUUGGUGGCCUGUAGUCAUGAAGUAUUGCCAAUGCCUCUUUGUCCUGGUGGACUGAAGUUCGAGACUCUCAGAAUUCGACGGCCUUUUAUUUUGGGAACGAAGAGGAAUGUUGUGCUUGUUUUAGCAAUCCAAAUUAGCUGCAUGUGCCGUUUUGUUUGUAUCUCUUUUACCUCGAAGUCAGUUGUGUCGUUGUGGCAAAAUACGAUAGUUUUAAAUUGUUUUUAUCUACUCAUAAAAGGGCUUAAAUUUGCUUCUAAUUCCAUAGACUAUAUGACCUCUGAAUGACUGACUUUCUGGCAGGCUAUCAGGGUGUUGUUUGUUGAUGUAUGAAGCAUUUAAGUAUGAAUGGCUGCCUCAGUGGCAGCCUAACAGAGUGACUUUUGUAACAUGCCUUGAAUCCGAAUGAGCGACCUCUGAAUGACUGACUUUCUGGCAGGCUAUCAGGGUGUUGUUUGUUGAUGUUCAAAGCAUUUAAGUACAAAGAGUAACUACCUCAGUGGCAGCCUGACACAGCGUCUUUUUUAUCAUGCCUUGAAUCUGAAUGAGCGACCUCUGAAUGACUGACUUUCUGGCAGGCUAUCAGGGUGUUGUUUGUUGAUGUAUGAAGCAUUUAAGUAUGAAUGGCUGCCUCAGUGGCAGCCUAACAGAGUGACUUUUGUAACAUGCCUUGAAUCCGAAUGAGCGACCUCUGAAUGACUGACUUUCUGGCAGGCUAUCAGGGUGUUGUUUGUUGAUGUUCAAAGCAUUUAAGUACAAAGAGUAACUACCUCAGUGGCAGCCUGACACAGCGUCUUUUUUAUCAUGCCUUGAAUCUGAAUGAGCGACCUCUGAAUGACUGACUUUCUGGCAGGCUAUCAGGGUGUUGUUUGUUGAUGUAUGAAGCAUUUAAGUAUGAAUGGCUGCCUCAGUGGCAGCCUAACAGAGUGACUUUUGUAACAUGCCUUGAAUCCGAAUGAGCGACCUCUGAAUGACUGACUUUCUGGCAGGCUAUCAGGGUGUUGUUUGUUGAUGUUCAAAGCAUUUAAGUACAAAGAGUAACUGCCUCAGUGGCAGCCUGACACAGCGUCUUUUUUAUCAUGCCUUGAAUCUGAAUGAGCGACCUCUGAAUGACUGACUUUCUGGCAGGCUAUCAGGGUGUUGUUUGUUGAUGUAUGAAGCAUUUAAGUACAAUGAAUGACAAUUCAAUAACUGCCUCUGUGGUGGAUGAAGUUUGUUUUGUAAGCGUAAUUAUAGUGUGUUUAGUUGCCAUGCUGUUUUAAAGAUAAAUCAUUUUGUAUAAAUUUCUGGUCAAAAUUGAAUUUAGGUAUCUUUUGUUUUAAGUUUUUUACUCCUCUCUUCUUCAUAUUUAAAGUACCAGAAUGUUCUGAAUUUCUUACUAGUUGACUCUUCAGAUACCUGUGUAGAAAUAAUAUGUUGAAGUCAUCAGCUGUUACAGUUUGAUCACGAGAAAUGACUUUUUAAGAGUCAGUGCACCCAGCAAUCCAGCGAGCUUUACUGAAAUUAGUGUGUCACAGUCAGAAACAGUUGUUAGCUGUUCAAAGCAAUCUCUAGGGGUCAAUGGGGUUGAUCUGCAGUCCACACUUCGUGAGUCCCAGCCAUGUUAACCCUUCACUGUUGACACAACACUUAAUACUGAUUUAGAACUUGGCAGCAGUCGAGGCCAUGAUCUCCACGAAGGUCCAGCCAGGAAGGAAGCUGUGCUUUAGUAUCUUGUCAACGCAUUUGAUGCUGCGAUGGUGAUUGUAUGAUGUCAUCCACAUGAAGGAUUUUUCUGAAUCUUACCCCUAAU